UUUUAUUUAAAUUAUUAUUUAAUUUAAAUUUUAUUUUUAAAUAAAAUAAUAAAUUUAAAUUUGAUUGGGAGGAUUAAUAAAUUUAAUAAACUUUAUUUUUAAAUAUAAUUUUGAUUAAAAGAUUUAAUAUUGAUCUAUAAUUUAUAAUUAAAAGAAUAAAUUACCUUAGGGAUAACAGCGUAAUAUCUUUUGAUAGACCUUAUUGAU
rnacentral:rRNA from 1 species